GCUGGGUGCGGUGGUGCAUGCCUGUAAUCCCAGCUACUUGGGAGGCUGAGGCAGGAGAAUUGCUUGAACCCAGGAGGCAGAGGUUGCAGUGAGCCGGAAUCGUGCCACUGCACUCCAGCCUGGGUGACAGAGUAAGACUCUGUCUCCA
rnacentral:SRP_RNA from 1 species